AUUGAACGCUGGCGGCAGGCCUAACACAUGCAAGUCGAGCGGAUGAAGGGAGCUUGCUCCUGGAUUCAGCGGCGGACGGGUGAGUAAUGCCUAGGAAUUUGCCUGGUAGUGGGGGAGAACGUCCGGAAACGGGCGCUAAUACCGCAUAAGUCCUGAGGGAGAAAGUGGGGGAGCUUCGGACCUCACGCUAUCAGAUGAGCCUAGGUCGGAUUAGCUAGUUGGUGGGGUAAAGGCCUACCAAGGCGACGAUCCGUAACUGGUCUGAGAGGAUGAUCAGUCACACUGGAACUGAGACACGGUCCAGACUCCUACGGGAGGCAGCAGUGGGGAAUAUUGGACAAUGGGCGAAAGCCUGAUCCAGCCAUGCCGCGUGUGUGAAGAAGGUCUUCGGAUUGUAAAGCCCUUUAAGUUGGGAGGAAGGGCAGUAAGUUAAUACCUUGCUGUUUUGACGUUACCAACAGAAUAAGCACCGGCUAACUUCGUG
rnacentral:rRNA from 1 species